rnacentral:lncRNA from 10 species
GGCGCAGCCAAUCACGGCCUGAGGCUGCACUCCCCGCGCCCGCGCGGGCCCUUAACCCUUGGCGCGCUGGGAGUCGGCUGCCCGGGCUGCGCGGGGAACCUGGAGGGCAGGAGCAGGCGGGAGUUGUUGCUUCGGGGCGCAGGGUCCAGACCUUGCCGAGACCGGCGUUGGGAGCUAGCAGAACCGGGAAGAGGCUCGAUUGUGUCCGGUGGGGCCGCCGGGAGCCUCGGCGACCUUUGUCUCCUGCCUGGCUCCUGCACUGGAGUGUGACCCGGGGCGCUGCAGCUGCUUGUGUGUGUGUGUGUGUGUGUGUGUGUGUGUGUGUGCGCGCGCGCGCGCGCGCGCGCGUGUGUGUAAGAGGGAGGAGAAGAGGAGACAGAAACGGUGGGAGGGGUGGAUUCCGCGUGCCCGUGUGCUUAUGUGUGAAGGAAAGUCCUGACUAUAUUUGGGAUUUGUUGCUCUGUGUGUAUAUGUGCGUGUGUGUGUUUGCUAUAUUUGGGGUUCGUUGCUGUGUGUGUGUCCGCUGUAUUUGAGGUUUGUUGCUGUGUGUGUGUGUCCGGUAUAUUUGGGGUUUGUUGCCGUGUGUGUGUGUGUGUGUGUGUGUGUGUGUGUGUGUGUGUAAGAGAGGAAGAGAGAUGAGGAGACAGAAAGUGGGGGAGGGGUGGAUUCCGCGUGCCCGUGUGUUUAUAUGUGAAGGAAAGCCCUGACUGAUUUAUUUGGGAUUCGUUGCCGUCCAGGGACUUCAGGACAACCUGUGUCCGCUAUAUUUGAGGUUUGUUGCCGUGUGUCUGUGUGUCGCUAUAUUUGGGGUUCGUUGCUGUGAGUGUCUACUAUAUUUGGGGUUUGUUCUGUGUGUGUCCACUAUAUUUGGGGUUCAUUGCUGUGUGUGUGUGUCUGCUAUAUUUGAGGUUUGUUGCUGUGUGUGUGUCUCCGCUAUAUUUAGGGUUCAUUGCUGUGUGUUUGUGUGUCUGCUAUAUUUGGGGUUCGUUGCUGUGUGUGUGUGUCCGCUGUAUUUGGGGUUUGUUGCUGUGUGUGUGUGUGUCCCCGUGAUAGAGGGGUGAGGGAGGGAAUGGUAGCAAAGCAGAGAGAAGGAGCCGUGGCUCUCUAGGCGUGUGAAUUUGCAGGUCCAGGAGAGACACUGUCUCCACGUGUAGGUUUUGUGAGGUCAAGGGAAGGAGGAAGGAACAGAAGACAGCCUGCCUGUGUGUGUGUGUGAUGUGUGAUCUCCACUUUUGGGUCCUGUUGUACAUGCAUGUUAAUGUGGUAGAAAGAAAUGUGGUGUCCCUGUUGUAAACAAGUUGUGAAAAAAUCCUGGGUUUUUGUGGUGUAGUUUGCGUGUGUUGUACGUGCCCACACAAAAGAGGGACAUGGCUGUGAUUUGGUACAACUUUGUGUGUAACCCAGUUUGCAAGAGACAUCGAGAUAAAAACAUUGUGUGUGUGGUGACACUGUGGUCUUUGUGUGUGACUGUUGUGUGACUUUUGUGAUCAUCUAUAUUUGGGUUGGGCUGAGAAAGAGAAACUACUGUGUAGGGGGCAUAAUGAGUGUAUGUUCAGGAGAAAGACAUCCUGGCGGCAUUGGGAUUUGGGCUUUGAAGGAUGUCUAAGAGUUCAUUAGGCCAGACAGAAUGCUCGUGAGGCCAGAGGGAAAGAUCCGGGGAAUCCUGCCUAUCAGCCAACGGGGGUGAGGAGGCUGUAGUGGUGGGUGACCAGGGUGAAUUUGGAAACAGAACCUACUGCCAGCAAGGAAGAGGAGGAGCAACUGACUGCAACCCUUGCCCAGCAGCAUUCCAAAUUCUUCAGUGUGGAGGACUCAGGGAGGUCGAAAAGCUCCUUGAGUGCAGCAGUUGGGAGCAUGGUGAAGGGGGGAGGGUCUGGCCGUGUCUGCAAGGUGACCAGACCUGAAGGUCCAGAGCCCCCCUCCAUCAUGGGGUACUUAAACUAUCAGCUGCCCUGGCCUGGUGUCCGAUUCCUGACUAUUCCUCAAGUGUCUUCCUAAGAAUCAUAGCCUGAUGCCUGCAGAGACAUUGAAGAUCCAGGGACACACAAAAAUGAAACCCAGUUAUCCUGGCACUCCACUUGCCAGCAAUGUGAUUAUGUUCUCUUCUCUCUGAGCUCCCGUUUUUGCCUCUGUAAAAUGGUGUUCAUAAUUCUUACCCACCUCACUGUACUGUUGUAAAGAUUUAAGGAGUUAAUAUACCUCGUGGGCCUUUUGUAACUUAACAAACCGCUAGAAAGCCUUUAAGCAUUGCUCCAUUUACAAAAAGUUCAAAAAAUAAGCAAAAUUAGACCUGUGCUGUCAGAAGUUAGGUUUGUGUUAUCUUUGGGGAGGGAAUGACUGGAAAGGGGCACCAGGGAAGCUUCUGGGUGCUAGUAAGGGUUAGGUACGGAGGAGGGAGUAGUUCAGUUGUGAAAAAUUGAGCAGUCUCCUUAGGAUCUAUGUGCUUUUCUGUCUCUGUUACUCUCUAACAAGAAGUUUCCAAAAGAAAAAAGGGCCAGGUGCAGUGGCUCAUACCUGUAAUCCCAGCACUUUGAGAGGCCAAGGCAGGCGGAUCACCUGAGGUCAGGAGUUCAAGACCAGUGUGGCCAACAUGACAAAACUCGUCUCUACUAAAAAUACAAAUAAAUUACCCGGGCAUGGUCGUGGGCACCUGUAAUUCCAGCUACUCAGGAGGCUGAGACAGGAGAAUCGCUUGGACCGAGGAGGCGGAGGUUGCAGUGAGCUGAAUCACGCCGCUGCCCUCCAGCCUAGGUGACAGAGAGACUCCAUUUCAAAAAAAAAAAAAAAAAAAAAAAGGCAGGGCUCAGUGGUGGAUCACUUGAGAUCAGGAGUUUGAGACCAGCCUGGCCAACAUGGCAAAACUCCAUCUCUACUAAAAUACAAAAAUUAGCUGGGCAGGGUGGCGGGUGCCUAUAAUCCCAGCUACUCCGGAGGCUGAGGCAGG